UACGGAGGGUGCAAGCGUUAUCCGGAUUUACUGGGUUUAAAGGGUGCGUAGGUGGGUCUGUAAGUCAGUGGUGAAAUCUCCGAGCUUAACUCGGAAACUGCCAUUGAUACUAUAGGUCUUGAAUUAUCUGGAGGUAGGCGGAAUAUGUCAUGUAGCGGUGAAAUGCUUAGAUAUGACAUAGAACACCAAUUGCGAAGGCAGCUUACUACGGAUAUAUUGACACUGAGGCACGAAAGCGUGGGGAUCAAACAGG
rnacentral:rRNA from 1 species